GGAAAAAUCAAAAUUGGAAACAGAAUUGUUAGACUCCAAAGUUAAGAAUCUGUCAAGAAUGUAUAACUUGCUGUUGAAAUGGAAUACUCAGGAUGAAACGGUGAAAUCUGCUAUGAUUAAAUGGGCACAAGAUGUUGGACAUAACAUUAUGAUGGCUGACUGGGAACAGUUAUGGACCACAGGUAUGACGUUUACGGCAUG